AGUUGGAUAUUGUAAAGUGGUGGAAAAUUAAUUGUUUUAAAUUGUGCUGGUUUGAUCACCUUUUUCUAACUUUUUCUGCAAAUUGAAUUCUCAUGGUAUUUGUGCGUUCACAAACACAAAAAUCCAUCUUGUACUACUCUGCCUGUACUACUUUUGUGUCCAAACCAAAUAUGGUCCCGCUUUUUUUUAGAUCAAUAAUUAGUUUUCCUUGUUAUUUAGCUGUCUUCGGUGAAGAAGAUCCGUAGGGGAAGGGAGGAGAUCCCUCUUCGUGAGUUGAAGCUGCAGGAGGGGCAAACCUGUGUUUCAGUCACUCUAUGGAGGGAAGCAGCUGUGGAAAAGCUGGAAAUGGACUGGUACUGUAGGCUGACUCAUCUACGGGCAUGUGAUGCAGAAGGAUCGCCCCUGCAGUCUACAGGGUUCAGUACGAUUGAGAUGAUCACAACCACGGAGGAGGCUGAGGGAGUGGAGGUAAUCGGAAUCAUGGAGACAGAC